UACGAAGGGGGCUAGCGUUGCUCGGAAUUACUGGGCGUAAAGCGCACGUAGGCGGUCUUUUAAGUCGGGGGUGAAAUCCUGGAGCUCAACUCCAGAACUGCCUUUGAUACUGAAGAUCUUGAGUUCGGGAGAGGUGAGUGGAACUGCGAGUGUAGAGGUGAAAUUCGUAGAUAUUCGCAAGAACACCAGUGGCGAAGGCGGCUCACUGGCCCGAUACUGACGCUGAGGCACGAAAGCGUGGGGAGCAAACAGG
rnacentral:rRNA from 1 species